rnacentral:rRNA from 1 species
CAAUAGCGUAUAUUAAAGUUGUUGCGGUUAAAAAGCUCGUAGUUGGAUUUCUGCCGAGGACGUCCGGUCCGCCCUCUGGGUGAGUACAUGGCACGGCCUGGGCAUCUUCUUGGGGAACGUAUCUGCACUUGACUGUGUGGUGCGGUAUCCAGGACUUUUACUUUGAGGAAAUUAGAGUGUUCACUGCAGGCAUACGCCUUGAAUACGUUAGCAUGGAAUAAUAAGAUAGGACCUCGGUUCUAUUUUUUCGGUUUCUAGAGCUGAGGUAAUGAUUAACAGGGAUAGUUGGGGGCGAUUCGUAUUUAACUGUCAGAGGUGAAAUUCUUGGAUUUAUGGAAGACGAACUACUGCGAAAGCAUUUACCAAGGAUGUUUUCAUUAAUCAAGAACGAAAGUUAGGGG